rnacentral:misc_RNA from 1 species
AGUCGUAACAAGGUAACCGUAGGUGAACCUGCGGUUGGAUCAUUAACAAUGGUUUUCAAACCUUUUAUCUGUGCACUUUUUGCUACCUCUGGGUCCUUAAGGAUUAAAGAGGUAGUGUCUGUUCAUCUCUUGCCGAGACUAUGGUCUCGACUAGAGAAUUUUUAAACCAUGUAUUGUAUCGAGUCUUGAAUUUGUAUUAAAAUGAAAAACUUUUGACAACGGAUCUCUUGGCUCUC